CACUGAGAAGCUUUGUAUAGCAUUAACCUUUUAAGUUGAAGAAGAAACCACUUUCCUCAGUGA
rnacentral:tRNA from 2 species